UGGGGAAUAUUGCACAAUGGGGGAAACCCUGAUGCAGCGACGCCGCGUGAGCGAAGAAGGCUUUCGAGUCGUAAAGCUCUGUCCUAUGAGAAGAUAAUGACGGUAUCAUAGGAGGAAGCCCUGGCUAAAUACGUGCCAGCAGCCGCGGUAAUACGUAUGGGGCGAGCGUUGUCCGGAAUUAUUGGGCGUAAAGGGUACGUAGGCGGUUUUUUAAGUCAGGUGUCAAAGCGUGGAGCUUAACUCCAUUAAGCACUUGAAACUGAAAGACUUGAGUGAAGGAGAGGAAAGUGGAAUUCCUAGUGUAGCGGUGAAAUGCGUAGAUAUUAGGAGGAAUACCGGUGGCGAAGGCGACUUGCUGGGCACAAUCUGACGCUGAGGAACGAAAGCGUGGGGAGCAAACAGG
rnacentral:rRNA from 1 species